CUCAUCAAGAUGACCUGGAUGAGGAUGGCAUUCCCAGCUGUCUCACCAGAAACAUCUCACCUGCCUAAAGAGAUAAUCUUGGAUGCAGGGACCAUGCAGUUGCUAAUACCUUGGCACAGGAUCUAGCUGUGGCCUGUACUCUGGAUUGACGCCCUGAGUCUGGCUUGCUUGAUGGAAGAGGGGAAGCAUACUUCUAGGAUCCCAGGAUACUGCCCUGCCCAUCGCCAUCACGUCACCCCGGCAACUCUAACUCUUCCCUGAGACCAAACAUGCAUCGCUGAUCUCAGAAAUUCAGACCAACAUCCUGCUGCUACAGGGAAAUGAAGAGAAAACUGUGCACCAAACUCAUUGCUGGGAAGUGAGGUCCUCGAAGUGUUUUAUCCACAGUCCCUGACCUCCACAACCUUCAGGUCUCUAAGUUCGUGUUGCAUCAGAGCACAAUUAAGUCACGGUAACUAGAUCAGAGACGUCUAUCCUCCCUGGCCCCCAGGAAGCAGGAGAUUCAGCUGUUUCUCAUCUCAGGCUCAAUUGAUGCCUCGGGCUUGCUCUGAAUUGUUAGUCCCUCAUUUCCUCCAAAGUUAUUCUCCCAAUAUGUUCCCUCUUCUCUGUUUCAUCAGCUUUUAUCCUGCCACAUGGUUACAUAUAGCCACUGGUCCUCUGGAACAUGCCUCAUCUGCCUACACUAUGUGUCACCUCAAUGAUAGACCAGAGUUUUAGAGAAGAGAAUAGAUAUAUUGGGAAGGUAUUGAUGACUUGCACUAAAACAUAAGGACCACAGAAUUCAGAGUAGGAAUGGG
rnacentral:lncRNA from 1 species